UGCCAUGCGUUAAGAAGCACACGUCGCUU
rnacentral:piRNA from 1 species